rnacentral:rRNA from 1 species
CAGUCGCCGCGGGAAUACGUAGGGUGCGAGCGUUAAUCGGAAUUACUGGGCGUAAAGCGUGCGCAGGCGGUUUUGUAAGACAGAGGUGAAAUCCCCGGGCUCAACCUGGGAACUGCCUUUGUGACUGCAAGGCUAGAGUACGGCAGAGGGGGAUGGAAUUCCGCGUGUAGCAGUGAAAUGCGUAGAUAUGCGGAGGAACACCGAUGGCGAAGGCAAUCCCCUGGGCCUGUACUGACGCUCAUGCACGAAAGCGUGGGGAGCAAACAGGAUUAGAUACCCCGGUAGUCCCUGUCUCUUAUAC